GGGGGACUUUGUAUAUAAAGGACACAAUCAAAUACGUACAAAUUAGAUUAGUUGUUCUAUUUUACUCUCAAUAAUAAAAUUCCGCCUGCCACCCGCAGUAACAAGAAAAAGAGAGAGCUAAUAUCAGUCCGGAUACGGAAUAACCCUUUCCGAUUCCGGAGUGAUACAGAUACCAGACUGUGAACUAGCAACCAUUAUUUAUAACGAAAUAUGUAUAUAUAACAUCCCCGCCCCGAAAGAAAGAAAUUUUUGAAAUUUCUAAAUGGUUGCUAGUUUCACAGACGGAAUACAAUAUUGUUAUAAUCAACAUACAUAUAUUCAUAUAAUUAAGCAAUAUCAAAACAACUAAUUAAACAACUCAAACCUAAAACUUUCUCAAACAUUCGCCACUGCACCCAAACAUUCAUGUGUAACUAUCAUAUAGAGUCAAUUAGAAAAUAUUGCAAAU
rnacentral:lncRNA from 1 species